AUAAACACAAAUUAGGCGUAGGAUCUCGAGAGCCAAUAGGACGACCAUAACAAGCAACAUAACAUAUAACGCGUUAGAUGGAAACGGAAACUGGACCUGAAAAAUGACUGUUUAUUCGAUUUCGUAUUAUUUGUGGUGGUGGAGAGGCCAUAUUGUUUGUUAUGUUCCUAAGGGACAGUCGGAAGGUUUGGGUCAAUAGCAAAAUUACUUUUCAACAAUAUUUUAUGUGCGACUGCCUUCACUGGAGGAUUAUACAAUAUCAAAACCGAUUUCCGUUGGAACCGUUGUGUCGAUGCGAGUGGUCGAUAUCUGUGGCGAUAAAAUCGAUUGUGUGACGAUAAACAAUCCAACCAACCAACCAACACAUAACAUAAUUUUGAGCGGGAAAUUCGAGCACAUUUUUUAGAUUUUCUAUCAGUGGGAGUCAGUCAAAUUAGCAAGUUAGAUUUGCAGUCAGUUGUGUUCUGAAAAAUGGAAUGAAAAUUAGGCGAGUGGUCGACGAAUUGGGUGUCAGUUUUUCAGGUCUUUUCGAAGAGGAGCAGGACAAUUACGAUAAAUGGGCUUCCUCGACGGAAGUCGGCAAUGGCCGAAUGAUCAUAGCAAUCGUGCCCAACUGUAUUAGUGGAACGCAUUAUCGAAUUGAUUGAAUUACAAGUUUUCACUCCAAAACCAAGGAAACUCGUUUUCGAAUACUUACAAACAUGCAGUAAGCGAUUGAGGAUUGCUUACCCGCCGGAAUGGAACGAACACCAAUCUGCAGAACGAGAUUGGUUGUUAGGAUUCACAGACCGCAAUAAAAACCUGUCGCACAAAGUUAGCAAGUGUUUCCAAAAUCAGAAGUUUAUAUUUUCAAUCUCCACUCAAUCUGCAGCACUGUUCAUAAACCUUCAAGAGUUAUUGCUACGAAAGGACAGAAACAAGUGCUACAGGAAAUACUUUGCCUCCUGCCAUGGUUUUUUUAGGCAAAAGCGAGAUCUCAAAACAGCAAAAGCAUCAAUUGACUAACACCUUAACUAACGAAAUGGAGAAAACGAUCCGAGCUACAUUGACUGCUCAAGCGCCUCGGUCUAAUCCAAUUACGUUACUGACAAAUACUUUGACUCCUCUGUCAAUGGAUUGAUAACUGAUAUUCAAUAUGUAGAACUAAUCGAAGUCAGGCACAGCAGUGAAACAUGUUCUGUCAAUUUUAUGAGAAUAAGAGGCAAUACCCUCGCUUUUUUUUCCCGGAAAAUGUCUGGGCAACAUAAAGCCUUCGAAGUUGAUUAAGGUGGUAUUAAAAAUUUACAUUAAUUUAUGCAGUUAUUACCAUAACUUUUAUGUUCGUUAUAUUAGUUGGUUGUUUGUCUCUACUUACGUUAUUACCUAAAAGUAAAUAAUAAAUAAACAUCCCACACUA